AAAGCCAUGAAGUCACCCCAAGUUCAAACCCAAAAUGCAAUUUGCAGUGGUUAGAAAUGACAAAGGAUGGGUGGUAGGAUCCAGAGAAAAAACAGUGAAACCCGAUGGACCUUAAAUAGAUCUGAGGGCACUGAUUUGAUUAUUUUGGGUGAAAUCUUUUAAGAAAAUCUUGUCAGAUUCUUCACAGAAAAUUUGGUAAAGCCUAUAUUUCAUCGCCAGCCUAGCAAAGUUCACCUUGUGCCCAACCUUCUGUCUCCCUGAGUCAGACCUGCAGACGAUUGCAUGCCACCAGCUGUCUUCACUCCUGAGAACAUGACACAAAGGAAUGCUCCCUGUCAAGUUCUUCAUUAUCCUUCUGAUGAAUUUCCCCUGGUUUAAACAAGUUGGUGGUAGACAGACCUUUCUCGCAUUUUCACAGACGUGCCAGGAGGAAACCCAGCGUCUCUCAGUUUCCUUUAAAUAUAUGAGAUACCAUGAAAGGAUUUGAGCGUUUUUUUAUGUGAAUCCAAAGAUGACAUUUACAAAAGGUGGAGAAGCAGUUCCCUACUGAGGGACGUGGAUACAAAAAGCAGAUGACACAACACAUCCCAUAGAGUUCCCAGGGAAGAAUGAACCCAGAUUCUUGACCUGCAGAGGUUAUCGCAGUCGACUUCAGGCUGGAACGGGCAUUGCUCUUGCACUGAAGAAAGUCUGUCCUGACUCCCUCAGAGUGCCUCAACAUCAACCAAGAGCCACCGUGAACCUCUGGGGCACUGAGCCUGGCCACCAGCACCCCCACCCCAGCCCAUAUGGCCUGGGCCUCUCCCUUGAUGUUUAAAGGAGAUGAUAAAAAUGCUGCAACCCAGAUAAUGAUCACCUUACUCUUCAAAAAUACUGCCCAAGUUCUUUGUUCAAGAUGCCAAGAACCUGGAUACCCUCCACUGGUAACAAAUAUGACUUUGUUUUUAGCAAGCAACUUUGCAGUGUAAUUAAGUUAAGGAUCUUGAGAUGAGAUCAUCUUGGAAUAUCUGGGUGGGCCCUAAAUCCAAUGACAAGUGUCCUCAUAGGAAGGGAAGAUACACACAGAGGAGAAGGUGGUGUGAAGAUGGAAGCCAAGACUGUUGAUACCAGUUGGAGAGCACCAAGAACUACCCGCAGCCACUGAAAGCUAGGAGAGAGGCAUAGGACUGUCUCCUUCAGACCCUCCAGAAAGACCAAACCUGCCCGUGCCUUGAUUUCAGACUUUUGGCCUCCCACAUUGUGAGAGAAUAAAAUUUUGUUUUUGAAGCCA
rnacentral:lncRNA from 10 species